GGGAUUGUGGCUCAACGGUGGAGCGCUCACCUAGCAUGUGUGAGGCCCUGGGUUCAAUCCUCAGCACCA
rfam:Ictidomys tridecemlineatus contig074896, whole genome shotgun sequence.